rnacentral:sRNA from 1 species
GUGCAUGUAUUGCUUGAAUAUUAGUCUUCAGUUUUUCGCUCUCCACUUCUGCUUAAAGAUGGUCCAGCAUACAAGGCUCACAUGUGGGGCCUUAGUUAGUAUUUUGACUAAACUUUGACGGCUUUUGUAUGGGAAUUACACAGAAUCUCAUGGGAUAGAGAUGAGUUUUUUGUUCAUCUUGCCCUUGUCAUCAAGUGCUGGAUCAGGACUAAAAUAAAUUUAGGGAAAAACUG